UCUAUAUCUUGAUGCUCAAAAUUCAGACGUGGAUUUCAUAUUUUUCACGUCAAGAAUCUCACAGGUACAAUUAAGUCAUGAGAUUCUUGUGGUGAAAAAUAUGAAAAAUCCACGUCUGAAUUUUGAAAGCGCUUGCCCUC
rnacentral:pre_miRNA from 1 species